rnacentral:rRNA from 1 species
CAGUCGCCGCGGGAAUACGUAGGGUGCGAGCGUUGUCCGGAAUUAUUGGGCGUAAAGGGCUCGCAGGCGGUUUCUUAAGUCUGAUGUGAAAGCCCCCGGCUCAACCGGGGAGGGUCAUUGGAAACUGGGAAACUUGAGUGCAGAAGAGGAGAGUGGAAUUCCACGUGUAGCGGUGAAAUGCGUAGAGAUGUGGAGGAGCACCAGUGGCGAAGGCGACUCUCUGGUCUGUAACUGACACUGAGGAGCGAAAGCGUGGGGAGCGAACAGGAUUAGAUACCCCUGUAGUCCCUGUCUCUUAUAC